GACCCAAUGGCACAGUUAGUUAGUGCGUCUGCUGAAGGUACAUGGGCCAAUCAGUGCGGCAGAAGGCCUCGGUUCGAUUCCGGGUUAGGUCA